rnacentral:misc_RNA from 1 species
GAAAUGCGAUAAGUAAUGUGAAUUGCAGAAUUCAGUGAAUCAUCGAAUCUUUGAACGCACAUUGCGCCCCCUGGUAUUCCGGGGGGCAUGCCUGUUCGAGCGUCAUUUCACCACUCAAGCCUCGCUUGGUAUUGGCAACGCGGUCCGCCGCGUGCCUCAAAUCGACCGGCUGGGUCUUCUGUCCCCUAAGCGUUGUGGAAACUAUUCGCUAAAGGGUGUUCGGGAGGCUACGCCGUAAAACAACCCCAUUUCUAAGGUUGACCUCGGAUCAGGUAGGGAUACCCGCUGAACUUAAGC